rnacentral:lncRNA from 1 species
GAACUUCACAUAUGAAGCCCCUCUCAUGUGUCAGGCACGGCGUCAGAUGCUGGACGGCAAGAAGGUGGCCUUCUGCAAAUGGGGAUGAGUCCUCACCAGGUGUGGGAUCUGCCAGCACCUCGAUCUUGGGCUUCCCAGCCUCAGUACUGUAAGAAGUAAGUGUCUGUUGUUUAAGCCACCCCAUGUAAUAUAAUUUUGUUAUAGCAGCCUACAUUGAUUAAGACAGAUGCUAAGAAUAUGAAGGUGAAGAAAUGUCCCAGUACUUCAUGGGAACACAUCCCAGUGGCUUACAGAAUCAAAGAUGAAAGAGAGAGGGAUACACGUGGUUGCUGGCUCUUCCCUGCUGCUCAGAUGCCUGGAUCACUUGACUGCCUUCUCUAUCAAAGGUUGAUGUUUGCUUUCGCUUUGUUAGAAACACGAAUGAUUGGCUGGAUGCAGUGGCUAAUGCCUGUAAUCCCAGCACUUUGGGCAGUUGAGGCGGGUGGAUCACUUGAGGUCAGGAGUUCGAGACCAGCGUGGCCAACAUGGUGAAACCCCAUCUCUACUAAAAAUACAAAAAUUAGCCAGGUGUGGUGGUGUGCACCUGUAACCCCAGCUACUGAGGAGGCUGAGUUAGGAGAAUUGCUUGAGCCCGGGAGGCAGUGGUUGUGGUGAGCCGAGAUCAAGCCACUGCACUCCAGCCUGGGUGACAGAGCGAGACUGCAUCUCAAAACAAAACAAAACAAAACAACCAAGAAACACAAAUGAUCAGGGCUUCAAUUCUGCAAUGCAACAAUCACUAACCAUUUGUAGAGAAUCCUAAUGGCUUUUACAUUUUCAGUGCCACUGUUCUCUUGCAAAUAAUAUGAUAUAACCAAUCAAUAUUUGGAAGGAACUCUGAGAUUGCUUUAAAAUUAUUGCAUGUUAAUAAUUAUGAACAUUUGGGUAAUGCUUUUUGACUUUACAAAAUGUCUUUAUAUAUAAGCACUGGUUCUCCACCAGGGGCAACUCCCUCCCCCAGGGGACAUUUGGCAAUGUUGGGAGACAUUUUUGGUUGUCCCAGCUGGGGAGAGUGUUACUGGCAUCUAGUGGGUAGAGGCCAGGGAGGCUGCUAAACAUCCGACAAUGCACAGGACAGCCUCUGACAACAAACUAUUAUCCCGUCUAAAUGUCGAUAAUGUUGAGGUUGAGAAACUCCCAUACGCAAGAUCUCUCGGAAAUGUUUGCAAUUUUUACAGUUAUUGCAUGUGUUAGAUAUUUUCACAAUUCUUUUACAAAUCAGGAUCCCGAGGGUCAAAGAUGAUGAGUUAC